UGUCCAGUAGCACCUUAGAGACCAACUAAGUUUGUUCUGGUAUAAGCUUUCGUGUGCAUGCACACUUCUCAGUUGGUCUCUAAGGUGCUACUGGACA